rnacentral:rRNA from 1 species
GGUUAAGCGACUAAGCGUACACGGUGGAUGCCCUGGCAGUCAGAGGCGAUGAAGGACGUGCUAAUCUGCGAUAAGCGUCGGUAAGGUGAUAUGAACCGUUAUAACCGGCGAUUUCCGAAUGGGGAAACCCAGUGUGUUUCGACACACUAUCAUUAACUGAAUCCAUAGGUUAAUGAGGCGAACCGGGGGAACUGAAACAUCUAAGUACCCCGAGGAAAAGAAAUCAACCGAGAUUCCCCCAGUAGCGGCGAGCGAACGGGGAGGAGCCCAGAGCCUGAAUCAGUGUGUGUGUUAGUGGAAGCGUCUGGAAAGGCGCGCGAUACAGGGUGACAGCCCCGUACACAAAAAUACACAUAUUGUGAGCUCGAUGAGUAGGGCGGGACACGUGGUAUCCUGUCUGAAUAUGGGGGGACCAUCCUCCAAGGCUAAAUACUCCUGACUGACCGAUAGUGAACCAGUACCGUGAGGGAAAGGCGAAAAGAACCCCGGCGAGGGGAGUGAAAAAGAACCUGAAACCGUGUACGUACAAGCAGUGGGAGCACGCUUAGGCGUGUGACUGCGUACCUUUUGUAUAAUGGGUCAGCGACUUAUAUUCUGUAGCAAGGUUAACCGAAUAGGGGAGCCGAAGGGAAACCGAGUCUUAACUGGGCGUUAAGUUGCAGGGUAUAGACCCGAAACCCGGUGAUCUAGCCAUGGGCAGGUUGAAGGUUGGGUAACACUAACUGGAGGACCGAACCGACUAAUGUUGAAAAAUUAGCGGAUGACUUGUGGCUGGGGGUGAAAGGCCAAUCAAACCGGGAGAUAGCUGGUUCUCCCCGAAAGCUAUUUAGGUAGCGCCUCGUGAAUUCAUCUCCGGGGGUAGAGCACUGUUUCGGCA